rnacentral:rRNA from 1 species
UACGAAGGGGGCUAGCGUUGUUCGGAUUUACUGGGCGUAAAGCGCACGUAGGCGGAUCGUUAAGUCGGGGGUGAAAUCCUGGAGCUCAACUCCAGAACUGCCUUCGAUACUGGCGAUCUUGAGUCCGGAAGAGGUGAGUGGAACUCCUAGUGUAGAGGUGGAAUUCGUAGAUAUUAGGAAGAACACCAGUGGCGAAGGCGGCCGGCUGGGGGUGCACUGACGCUGAGGCGCGAAAGCGUGGGGAGCGAACCGG